UUUCCGUAGGUGAACCUGCGGAAGGAUCAUUCAUAAUAAAGUGUUUUAUGGCACUUUUUAAAAAUCCAUAUCCACCUUGUGUGCAAUGUUAGAUCUCGUCAAGCUUGGCGAGAUUUUUAUACAUCAACUCAUUCUUUAACUAAUUUGUCUGAAAAAUAUUAUGAAUACUUAAUUCAAAAUACAACUUUCAACAACGGAUCUCUUGGCUCUC
rnacentral:misc_RNA from 1 species